AGAGUUUGAUCCUGGCUCAGGACGAACGCUGGCGGCGUGCUUAACACAUGCAAGUCGAACGAGGUCCAGGAAGUAGCAAUACGACCGAAGACCUAGUGGCGAACGGGUGAGUAACACGUGAGCAACCUGCCCCGAAGACUGGGAUAACAGCGGGAAACCGCUGCUAAUACCGGAUACCCCCAUGGGACGACAUCGCCCUA
rnacentral:rRNA from 1 species